AGGAUGAACGCUGGCGGCGUGCCUAACACAUGCAAGUCGAACGUCCUGUCUCGCAAGAGGCAGGGAGUGGCGGACGGGUGAGUACCACGUGGGUUAUCUACCGUGAGGUGAGGAAUACCGGCGAGAAAUCGCCGACAAGACCGCAUAGCCUCGGUGCAAGUCGAGGAAAGCUCUCUCGAGAGAGGGAGCGCCACACGAGGAGCCUGCGCCCGAUUAGCUAGCUGGUGGAGUAAUGGUUCACCAGGGCGACGAUCGGUAGCUGGUCUGAGAGGACGAUCAGCCACACUGGGAUUGAGAACGGCCCAGACUCCUACGGGGGCAGCAGUGAGGAAUUUUCGUCAAUGGGGCAACCCUGAACGAGCAACGCCGCGUGCAGGAGAAGGUUUCGGAUCGUAAACUGCUUUUCUCGGAGAAGAGAACGGACGGUACCGAGGAGUCACGCCCGGCUAACUACGUGCCAGCAGCCGC
rnacentral:rRNA from 1 species